ensembl:lncRNA
GGCUGAGUAUAGUUAAAUAAGAGGAAUCUGUCUAGCUUAGUGAUCGGCAACCUAUGAAAAUUGAUAUGCACUAGGAUUCUGUUUUGUUUAAAAAAAUCUGAAAUGACAAAGCUUGGCAAAAAAUACGUAAAAAUAUUAGUGCCUUCUCCUUCACAUUUCCUUCAGUGAAUAUAUAUUGCUGUAUAAAGCAUACCUUAAACAUUAAUUAAUAAAACAAUGGGCGUUUGAAAUUUCCAACCCAUUUCCUCUUGGAAAGAACAGGGCAAGGCAGCCUGCAUCCUGCUCUGCAUGCAGGGUCCUGGUUGCCAGCCAUCUGCUCUCACAUGCAGGAGGAAGAGCCCUGGGGUACUGUGUGGUUGUGAGCCACCACCUUUCCUUGCCUGCCCAUGCCUGGAGACCCAGUGUUAUCAGUGUGCCUGGGCCUGCUGGACACUCAGAGCCGAAACCUAGACAAAGCUUCAGUGCCUGGGGGAGUUGUGGACUUUCUGAAUUUCAAGAACAGUGAAGUUGGAGUACAGUAGAAGGUGUAUAAAAGACUACACAGUGUGAAGCCUGAUACAAAUUCCAGUGGGAAGAUACCGGACAGUGUCAAAUAGAUCGAGCUUUUCUGUUUAAUACACUAAAUGAAUGACGCACAAGCCAUAUGUUUAGAAGGUAACCAUUUGACAUUAACUUUUUUUUUUUUUUUUUUUUUUUACCGGGGAUGGAACUCGGGUCCUUGCACUUGUGCAGCAGGCGGCAAAACCACUGAGCUAAAUCCCUGGCCCUUGACAUUAACUUUUAAACUCAACAAGAGAAAAGGGAAGAACAGUCUUGUCUCAUGAUAUUUUCUACCCUUUUGCUCUAUAGCUAGAUUAAGUAUAAUUUGAAGUACAUGACUAGUUCUUGUUACCACUAUUUCAGACUGAAAAAAAAGGUAUAAUCUUGUUCCCUCCUACCAUUGCUUACUUUCUGACACCCUGCCUACACUGGGAAAGAAUAUUUAUGUUUAUAUACUUAUGUAUGUAAAAAAUUCAAAUAAAAAGUGAUACCAUGGCUACAGUGACAUAAGGUCUUCUGAGACUUGACUUUCAGUGCUAUUAUAAUACUAAUGAUACUUUUCCCCUUGUCACUACCUAUCAUUUUCUUAGUGUUCAUUAGAUGUUGGGCACUGUGCUAAGUGCUAUAUAUAAUUUUGUAAUUUAAUUCUCCCAAGGACUGUUUUUUUUUUUUUUUUUUUUUUUAGCAAAAUUUAUUUUAUUACUUAUUUAAGGACUUUUUAAGAUUUGGAUUUUUGAAGCUCCCUUUUACAAGUGAGGAAACUGUUUAGGGUUUAAGAAAGGUACUUUACCUCAAAAUUGACUGUUUCAGAUUUGAAUGUGUGCUUUGCUUCAAUUUUUCUCUUUUUCUUCUUGUUUUUUUUUUUGAGACAAGGUCAUGUUCUGUAGUUCAGGCUGGCCCUUGAUCUGCUGGAGCCUUCCAAGUGCUGGGAUUACUGGCAUGCGCCACCAGACUAGCUCUUUUUCUUUCUUAAAAUUUCAGCUCUCUUACUAAAAUUGCUUCUUAAAAGGUGAUUAUUCAUACAUAUGAAAAUCAGGUUUUUUCAGAUUCUUAGCUAACUGCAUAAAUGAGAUACAAGUGGAAUUUAAGUAACUGGUUUUAAAGUUUAUAAAAUAAAAGAUUGCCAUUAGGAUGGCUACUAUCAAAAGGACAAAAAAUAAAAAGUGUUGACGAGGAUGUGGAAACUUGGAAUCCCUGUAUGCUAUUGCUGGGAAAGUUAAAUGGUGCUACUGCUAUGGAAUGCAGUGUGGCAGUUCCUCAGAAAUUAAAAAUAGAACUACCAUAUGAUUUAGCAAUGCUGUUUCUGGGUAUAUACCCAGAAGAACUGAAGCAGAGUCUUCAAGAAAUAUUUGCACACCCAUGUUCAUGGCAACAUUAUUCAUAAUAAAUAAGAAGUGGAAGCAACCUGUGAAGGAUGAAUGGAUAAACCAACAUGUCAUAUAUCUAUGUCAUAGAAUAUUUAUUCAUCCUUUAAAGGAAAAUACAUUUUUUUUUUGUUUUUUUGAGACAGAGUCUUGCUAUGUACUGUAGUUCAGGCUGGCCUUGAACUGACUUUGAGGCCCAGGCUGGCCUCACACUCGAGGUG